rnacentral:rRNA from 1 species
AGUGAACGCUGGCGGUAGGCCUAACACAUGCAAGUCGAACGGCAGCACAGUAAGAGCUUGCUCUUACGGGUGGCGAGUGGCGUACGGGUGAGGAAUACAUCGGAAUCUACUUUUUCGUGGGGGAUAACGUAGGUAAACUUACGCUAAUACCGCAUACGACCUACGGGUGAAAGCAGGGGAUCUUCGGACCUUUCGCGAUUGAAUGAGCCGAUGUCGGAUUAGCUAGUUGGCGGGGUAAAGGCCCACCAAGGCGACGAUCCGUAGCUGGUCUGAGAGGAUGAUCAGCCACACUGGAACUGAGACACGGUCCAGACUCCUACGGGAGGCAGCAGUGGGGAAUAUUGGACAAUGGGCGCAAGCCUGAUCCAGCCAUACCGCGCGGGUGAAGAAGGCCUUCGGGUUGUAAAGCCCUUUUGUUGGGAAAGAAAAGCAGCCGGUUAAUACCAAGCUGUUCUGACGGUAACCAAAGAAUAAGCACCGGCUAACUUCGUG